GGGUCGUUAGCUCAGUUGGUAGAGCAGUUGGCUUUUAACCAAUUGGUCGUAGGUUCGAAUACCACACGACCCACCA
rnacentral:tRNA from 1 species